AGUUUGGUGGCUGAGUGGUAAAGCGCGUGGCUUCAGGAGCGAGAGGUCCCGGGUUCGAAUCUCGGUGACUG
rnacentral:tRNA from 1 species